GUAGAGUCCAAAUAUCAACCCCUUUCUUGAUGAUCUGUUGCAAGACAGAACCAUGUGAUCUUGAGCUUCUUAUGUCUUCUAACCAAACCCCACCAGAUCUGCAUUUCAUUAUAUUACCAUAUAAAUUAUUCCAUCUAUAUAUACAAGUGCAUUAUCCACACCACAGACAAGGCAUUCUCACAUCCUACUCUACAAGGAAAUCUUACAAUUCAAUUUUUAGUCUUCUCUGAUAUUCUUCAUACUUCCGAAUCACUAACAGCAAUGGCUAUCCGUGUGCCUAUAAUUAUCCAUCCUAAGCAGAUUCUUCGACAGUCUAAACUGUUUACAGAUCAAGCAGCCUCCAACUCAACGGAUGUUCCCAAAGGAUACUUUGCAGUCUAUGUUGGGGAAAGCCAAAAGAAGAGAUUUGUAGUUCCAAUAUCAUUCUUGAACCAGCCUUCGUUUCAAAAGAUGUUAAGUCUAGCCGAGGAAGAGUUCGGAUUCAAUCAUCCUAUGGGUGGUCUCACAAUUCCAUGCAGAGAAGAAGUCUUCAUUAAUCUCACUUCAAGCUUGCAUUAGUUGCCUAAUGCUAAAACAAUUUAAUCAGCUGAUACAUUUUUUGACCAUUGAUGUACAUCCUUCUAUUUUAUUAAUGCAACUUACAGCGGUUCUUUUCUCAAAUGUCCUCUUGUUAAAUC